rnacentral:rRNA from 1 species
UACGUAGGGGGCAAGCGUUGUCCGGAUUCAUUGGGCGUAAAGAGCGUGUAGGCGGCCAGGUAGGUCGGUUGUGAAAACUGGAGGCUCAACCUUCAGAGGUCGACCGAAACCAUCUGGCUAGAGUCCGGGAGAGGAGAGUGGAAUUCCUGAUGUAGCAGUGAAAUGCGCAGAUAUCAGGAAGAACACCCGUGGCGAAAGCGGCUCUCUGGAACGGUACUGACGCUGAGACGCGAAAGCGUGGGGAGCGAACAGG